GGUGAGCUACUGUUGGGUAUCUUGGCUGGCAGGUAAAGCUGGGAGGUCCCGGCCAGGGGCGCUGGUUGGAGACAUGAUUGCAAUGUGGGCCUUAGGAUUUGAGCCAAAGAAAGAAGAAAUUAAAAAGAUGAUAGCUGAAACUGACAAAGAAGGAAUUGGCACCAUUAGUUUUGAAGAAUUUUUUGCCAUAAUGAGUGUAAAAAUGAGUGAAAAGGAUGAAAAAGAAGAAAUACUGAAGGCUUCCAAAUUAUUUGAUGAUGAUGAUACAGGAAGUAUAUCACUGAACAAUAUCAAGAGGGUUGCUAAGGAGCUAGGGGAAAUUUUAACAGAUGAUGAACUUCAGGAAAUGCUUGAUGAGGCUGAUCAUGAUGGUGAUGGAGAAAUAAACAAGGAAGAAUUUUUGAAAAUGAUGCAAAAGACCACUCUUUAUUAAUACUGUCUUUUGUGCCUUCUGGAAAGUUGUUAACAAGUUUGUAUUUGUUGUAAGUUCCAUAAUAGUGAAUGUAUUCAUUUUCAAUGUUUAAUAAGUUUAUAUACAUAAACUGGUCUCUUGAUGUCUAAUCCAUGUGAGAAGUUACAUGUUGCUACCAAUAUGUUCUUAAAUCUAUAACAUCAAGAACUAAAAUGUAGUGACUUCCUUAAAAAAAAAAA